CCUACGGGUCGCUGCAGUCGAGAAUCAUUCACAAUGGGGGAAACCCUGAUGGUGCGACGCCGCGUGGGGGAAUGAAGGUCUUCGGAUUGUAAACCCCUGUCAUGUGGGAGCAAAUUAAAAAGAUAGUACCACAAGAGGAAGAGACGGCUAACUCUGUGCCAGCAGCCGCGGGAAUACAGAGGUCCCAAGCGUUGUUCGGAAUCACGGGGCGUAAAGCGUGCGUAGGCUGUUUCGUAAGUCGUGUGUGAAAGGCGCGGGCUCAACCCGCGGACGGCACAUGUUACUGCGAGACUAGAGUAAUGGAGGGGGAACCGGAAGUCUCGGUGUAGCAGUGAAAUGCGUAGAUAUCGAGAGGAACACUCGUGGCGAAGGCGGGUUCCUGGACAUUAACUGACGCUGAGGCACGAAGGCCAGGGGAGCGAAAGGGAUUAGAUACCCCAGUAGUC
rnacentral:rRNA from 1 species